UGGUGCCAAAUAUCUUUUGUCAUUAGCAGAUACGUUUUUUCGGCAGGUGGGAGGGGGGAGGCAGUGUGACUCUCCCAGCCUUACCUGGAGGAACUCAGACCUAGUGCUGGAAGCAGCUCGGCAUGGAGGCACUAAAGUAUCUGACACUUGUCCUGCUCCUGGCUGUGUUUGUGGAGAGGAUGGAAGUGCAGGCGGCAGGAAAUGCCACUUCCUGCCCCGAAGUAAGAGAUGGAACCCUUGGAAUUUGUGGCAGGGAAUGUACUGAGGACACAGGCUGUGAACAGGGAUGGAAGUGCUGCCCAAACACCUGCGGAAAAUUCUCUUGUAUGAAUCCAGAAUAGCAAGAGGUACAAAAGGACAAACUAUGGAAGAAUGGUACCUGCUGAUGUUAUCGACCCUGGGGGAAGACAGUUUGUAAUAAAUACCCAUAUCCUAACAAUGUCUGUGGACUGUUGUCCCUUCAAAACAGUCUGGUGUGUGUCAUUCUCUAAUGUCUUUUCUUUAGUACAUACCUCCGUUCAUAAAAUGUAGUUUGGUUCAGUCCUAUUUCAGAGGCAAAUAAAUACCAUAUUAACCAACAA